AUAAGCUUUGAUUUGGUCUUACAACUAUAUACAUAGUGGUUGCUCGACGUGCUGAGAGGAACCAUUCUUCAACGGCGGCGACGAUCGACGAUGAAGAUGCAGGAAAGGAUUCAACAGGUGCUCCUCCUCCAUCGAGCUUCUUCAUCUGGCUGUUUGUUCCGAUCACGGCGGAGCAGAGUCGUCCAUUUCGCCCUCGGGUCUUCGCCGCUCCUCCAUCCCUGUUGCGGUUCCUCCUCUUUUGGCGGCGAUUUCCCCGCAGAUUCUAGUCUGCUGUUGUCCAGCGCUCUUGAGGUCGUCUCUCUAUUCCCCCGGUGAAGAUUCGGUCCAAGGUGCAGUUGAUUACGGUCCAAUGCAUUCGAGGACGACUUCAUCGCCGAGCAAAUCUUCACAGGAGAUCUUCACUCCCUACCAGGUGCUCACAGCUCCUCCCGAGAGAGCUUCAUCACUUGAUUUAGAGAGAACGUCCGUGGUUGAAGCCUGAUCAAGUUCUGUCAAGAUUCGAGCUCUUCACCGUUCGAUGGCCGCCAUAGAAUCAAAUAACGUCUUCGCUCGCCGAACAUACUCUGAUCAUCUCUGUUCGCGGUCGCAAUGGCUAGAGCGCCCGAGUGGAGACAUUCUCUGUUUGUUUUGUUGAUUCCUGCACUUGAAAGUCAUUCCCAUGGAUGGUCAUCUUAUUCGAGUCUGAUCAGUAAUCAUCGCAGGAACUUUGGAGGCAUUUCUGCAUUCAGUUGCAGAUGAAAACCAGCUCAAAUGGUCGAAUGAUUGUGUUCUCAUCCACACGUGGUGCCAAAUAUCAUGUUAACAAGAUCAGCUGGCGCAGUUGGCUUAAUUAUGAAAAAUUCCUUGAAUUUCUAGGUAUAACAAUGAGUUUGGAUCUUUUGUUGUCUUUGGUGGCAAGUUCUAUCCUGAUCUCAAAAGUGUGAUCUGCCGGUUUGCACAGGAGUCUUCAUCCUUAUCAUUGCAUGGGUGCUUCCCUUCAGGCUCAACAGUUUUGCUGCUUUCUGGUUUAGUAGUUACGGUUACCUCAGAGAAAAUUUACUUGGACAAGGAAAACUUCUUGCCCUCAUGACUUGCUUCUGCAUAUCAGCCUUUAUCGUGUAAGUGAUACAUACCCUUUCUCAUGU